CCUACGGGACGCAGCAGUGGGGAAUAUUGGGCAAUGGAGGCAACUCUGACCCAGCAACGCCGCGUGAAUGAAGAAGGCCUUCGGGUUGUAAAGUUCUUUAAUUGGGGACGAAGGAAAUGACGGUACCCAAAGAAUAAGCCGCGGCUAACUACGUGCCAGCAGCCGCGGUAAUACGUAGGUGGCAAGCGUUGUCCGGAAUGACUGGGCGUAAAGGGGGCGUAGGCGGCGCGGUAAGUUAGGAGUGAAAACCCAGGGCUCAACUCUGUGGAUUGCUUUUGGAACUAUCAAGCUAGAGUGCUGGAGGG
rnacentral:rRNA from 1 species